UGUUUGUUGCUGCUGAUUUGAAGGUCAGACGUUUGUUUGUUGUUGCUGACUUUUUAAGAUCAGACGGCUGUUUGUUGUUGCUGAUUUAAGAUCAGACGGCUGUUUGUUGUUGCUGAUUUAAGAUCAGACGGCUGUUUGUUGUUGCUGAUUUUAGAUCAGACGGCUGUUUGUUGUUGCUGAUUUUAGAUCAGACGGCUGUUUGUUGCUGCUGAUUUGAAGAUCAGACGGCUGUUUGUUGCUGCUGGAGUAAAACAUGUCCGUUUGAUAAGACCAGUUAUUGCGCAACAACAAACUACUUUGUAAUGAGCUGGAGGCCGUAUGAAUAUUUUGAAAACAUGUACUUCAUUCAUUCUGUGAAAUGUGUUUCACUACAUAUGGAGGCAUGUCUUACCUCGCUUCCAAGUAGCCAGAAUCCAACCAAACGUAACAGGCAGUUAUGUGAUAGACUUCCUAUUGCCAUUGAAACCAGUAGCCCUUUUCUCCUGUUCUAUUGGUUUUCAAAUCAACUUUCAGGUUUAAAGUUUGGAGAACAUUUUCACCUUUAAUUUUUUUUUUUGUGUUACAUUUAUAACACAACAUUCCAUGUAUUCUCGCAUUUGCAGACUAGUGUUUAUAGAGCUUAUUAUUCCUCAUGUGGUGAUUGGAUAGACAUCAUUUAGCCUAAUAGUCGGCCUUAGAGUAGACACAGGCAAUAUAUUACAUUUGUUUUCUCUUUUCUUUGCACAGGAAAAUGUUGGCCUUUUUUUUUCAUAAACACAUUUCAUGCAAUUCUACCAGACUUUAGAGACAUUAGCAGAGAGACUGGAGACAUUAGCGGAGAGACUGGAGACAUUAGCGGAGAGACUGGAGACAUUAGCGGAGAGACUGGAGACAUUAGCGGAGAGACUGGAGACAUUGGCGGAGAGACUGGAGACAUUGGCGGAGAGACUGGCGACAUUGGCGGAGAGACUGGCGACAUUGGCGGAGAGACUGGCGACAUUGGCGGAGAGACGGGCGACAUUGGCGGAGAGACGGGCGACAUUAGCGGAGAGACGGGCGACAUUAGCGGAGAGACGGGCGACAUUAGCGGAGAGACGGGCGACAUUAGCGGAGAGACGGGCGACAUUAGCGGAGAGACGGGCGACAUUAGCGGAGAGACGGGCGACAUUAGCGGAGAGACGGGCGACAUUAGCGGAGAGACGGGCGACAUUAGCGGAGAGACGGGCGACAUUAG